AUUGAACGCUGGCGGCAGGCCUAACACAUGCAAGUCGAGCGGUAGAGAGGUGCUUGCAUCUCUUGAGAGCGGCGGACGGGUGAGUAAUGCCUAGGAAUCUGCCCUAGUGGUGGGGGAUAACGUUCGGAACGGACGCUAAUACCGCAUAACGUCCUACGGGAGAAAGCGGGGGAUCUUCGGACCUCGCGCCAUUAGAUGAGCCUAGGUCGGAUUAGCUAGUUGGUGAGGUAAUGGCUCACCAAGGCGACGAUCCGUAACUGGUCUGAGAGGAUGAUCAGUCACACUGGAACUGAGACACGGUCCAGACUCCUACGGAGGCAGC
rnacentral:rRNA from 1 species